CUUCUCUUGGAAUCACCCUCACCCCAAGUUGUUGCUAAGGAAACCAGCAUCUGGGGGUUUAUUUUGUUCUUCCAUCUAUAAUGUACUGACAGCAGCUCUGGUUGUAUCCUAACUCCAGAAGAGAAGCUGAACUGGCUUUACGCACAAAUGACAAGUGAAAAAACACCACUGAUGCCACAACAGACGGUCAGCUCUAACAUUCAGCAAGGACUCCUGAAGAUCAGAGCAAGGUGGAGACUUUCCUAGCCAUCUGACUGGACUUGUAUUGGCGUUGGCUUUCCUGCUCUGCCUUCCUUUCUGGCAUCAACUCAGCCAGUGUUUGGGUUAUGUGCUGGAUACAGAAUUAGCUCUCCAUUCUUCUGUUCCUGCAACUCCAUUAAAUUUCCACUGAGUAUUUGAAAAUA